UAGAAAAAAACUAGCAGACCUACUCCCCAUCCCCUCGUCGCCUCCUUCCCUUCCACAUCGCCGUCGCCUCCCUCCCCAUCCCCUCGCCGCACCCACUGCGGCUCCCACCCUCCCUGCACCAACGCACGCUGCCGUUCGCUCCUACACCUGCAGGCGAUGCCGAGCCCGCGGUCUCCCUCCCCAAGAUCGCUCCGGAGCCCGCUGUCCUCCUCCACCUACAACGGGAGCAUGGAGGAGCAGCAGCGAGCCAGAUCUGGGCCUUGUCGAGGAGGUCGGCUUCUCCAAGCACGGGAGCGGACAUGGCGACCAUGACGGGCAAAGCAGAGAGAAGCCGGUGCGAUGGCUAGGAGACAGUUCGGACUGGAUCCCGCCAUCACCACAAGUCACUGCCUCGUCCGUGCACCAAACUGGCUGGAGCUUAUGGGAAAUCUGCUAUAUCUUUAACAAGUCAGGAAAAGUUAAAGAGCAAUUCUCGAGUAGCCUUGAGUUAAUUCCAGGUAAUCACUUUUAUUUAUAUUGUAUGUUUGGGCAUCUUUUAAGCAGAGGCAUGUUUCAUGGUUGCUCUUAUUGAUUUUCUAUUUCCUGCGAGAUCGAGAAAUCAAUUGCUGGAGAGUGUCAUUUUAUUCUGGCGAUAAAUACACAUGUACACUCUCUGUCAAUUCAAGAAUUAACUGUGUAUAUUUAUAUAUGGAUAAGCAUGAAAUGCAAAUUUUGUAUCCUUACUUUCAUGAUUCAUGUUUUCCAACAAAACUUUCUUGAUUCUUUAGAAUAAAUAUAUAUGAUAUUUCAGAAAAAUAGUACAGCACAAUAGCACACUAGCGUUGCUUCCUCUUUUAUAUCUGCCUCAUGGACUGUGUGACAGGAAAAUGACGCACCAAUCAAGGUUGGUUAGAGCAUGUCUGCAAAAUCGUCAGUGUAGUAUUUCAUACAUGUAACAUAAAUUGGAUCAUUCAUGUGUGUGAAAAGAACGUGUGUGUUGUGCUACAGUACGCACAUGCGCAUGUUGUAGGAAAAAUCUCUCCUUUUGUUCUACUUGCGAUCCAUCCUUCUUCUCUGGCCAAAGCAUCUACUCUCCCACCAUUCUCUUCUAUCCCCCUCUCUCACCCAAUGCAGCCUAAUAUUCUGCAUGUGUGUCAUCCGUCCUCGCAGCAUGCAGCAAGGCCCGUUGGAGAGAUCUACAUUUUUUAGUUUCUUCACACUCUUUUUAUAAGGAGCUUCUUCAUUCUUUAAUAUGGUUGUUUGUCAUGGUAUUCUAUAUUCUUCCAGCAUUUGAUAGAAAAUGAAGCUAUUUUCUUGACUAAAUUCACAAAUCUGGACAAUGACUAUCAUUUGCUCAUGCACUUCGUUACUCUCUCAUAUUGAAGUUACUCUUCUUUGGGACCAAUCAUGUGAGAUAGACACAGCUGUGCAAAUUUAUGAAUAUAUAACAAUAGAUGGUGAACUACUGAACAAUUUUUGCUUGAUUGUCCAAGGGCCACUAUUUCUUAUAUUAAUCAGGGCACACAAUGUUAAUAUACUUCAAUAUGGCUAAGUUGGUCUUAACUAUUGUAGAAUAUAAAUGUCAAUGAUAAUGCAGACAUAGAUCAUAUUAUUGCAUUACCCUUUUCCAAGAAAAUAAUGGAAGUAAGUCUAUGAUCUUUCUCUGAAAUACAUUAUCAUGCAUUUGCAAGUUCCGCGUUUUUCAAUUUCAGAUAAAGGAAUUGGAUCUUUCUUGGAGGCUUAGUGUUUCUUAACUGAGGCAUCUGCAGCAAUUUGUGUGUUGUCAGGUCCCAACGGGUCAAAGGUUCCAUCCUCCUUAUUCUAUUAGAUUUGCUUAUUCUUUCCAUGUACUAUACGAUCUUGAAAAGGUCAGAUUUGAGAGUACAUCUGCUGAAUUUUAAUUUUCAAAGAUGAUGAAUAUAUAUUGUAUAAGAUAAAUCAAAAUAUCAUAUAUUGAAUUUGUAGUUUCAUUCUCCAUUUCAUAUGAUGUCGUCCUCAGAUGUUGUUGUCUACCUAACCUAUUAUAGUUAUUUGUUCUCAAUCUGUCAUUACUCCAGGCCCAUCUCCAAAGCCUACUUUCUUGAAUUAUAGGAUGGAGAAUAAUACUGCUAUAAUUGGCGUUGAGGCCAUAAACAACAUCUACUUACACUUGCUUAGUUCAUAGUUGGAUUUUUUACAAGAACAUUUGCUUCACUGUUUGGAUGUCGUGAGUCACAACAAGGUAUGAGCUGAUGCAAUGUUUUCUAUAUUCUAUCUCAGUAUUUUUCUUCCCUUAAAAUCUUUGUACAAAUUGUUCCAUUUCAUGUUAGCUGAUACUUUGUGUUUGCAAACAAACCUCAGACCUAUCUCUCUCAAGGCAUUACUUCCAUACCACACAUGAUUUUAUUUUCUUUGCGGACAUCAAUGAUAGGGACCAUGCCAUUGAAUGCAUUAUCUGAUUCAGAUGCCAACAAGGAAUUCUGCGAAGAGACAUUUGUGGCCAAUGUGCAGGCGGCAAUGGCAAUGGCAAGAGCAUAUUGUGCAGAGGAAGAGGGUGAGAAGAAACUGGUGGUUCUCAUCUAAUCUUUGUGGAACUCUCUUUAUGUGCGAUUGUGCAUUUGUUGGAACCUUUUUCUGACUUGCAGAAGUAUUCUGUUGUGCACAUGUAAAAUUAUUUUGAUGUGUCCUUGUUAGGCGUUGAACCUUAA